rnacentral:rRNA from 1 species
AAAUUGAAGAGUUUGAUCAUGGCUCAGAUUGAACGCUGGCGGCAGGCCUAACACAUGCAAGUCGAACGGUAACAGGAAGCAGCUUGCUGCUUCGCUGACGAGUGGCGGACGGGUGAGUAAUGUCUGGGAAACUGCCUGAUGGAGGGGGAUAACUACUGGAAACGGUGGCUAAUACCGCAUAACGUCGCAGGACCAAAGAGGGGGACCUUCGGGCCUCUUGCCAUCAGAUGUGCCCAGAUGGGAUUAGCUUGUUGGUGAGGUAACGGCUCACCAAGGCGACGAUCCCUAGCUGGUCUGAGAGGAUGACCAGCCACACUGGAACUGAGACACGGUCCAGACUCCUACGGGAGGCAGCAGUGGGGAAUAUUGCACAAUGGGCGCAAGCCUGAUGCAGCCAUGCCGCGUGUAUGAAGAAGGCCUUCGGGUUGUAAAGUACUUUCAGCGGGGAGGAAGGUGUUGUGGUUAAUAACCGCAGCAAUUGACGUUACCCGCAGAAGAAGCACCGGCUAACUCCGUGCCAGCAGCCGCGGUAAUACGGAGGGUGCAAGCGUUAAUCGGAAUUACUGGGCGUAAAGCGCACGCAGGCGGUCUGUCAAGUCGGAUGUGAAAUCCCCGGGCUCAACCUGGGAACUGCAUUCGAAACUGGCAGGCUUGAGUCUUGUAGAGGGGGGUAGAAUUCCAGGUGUAGCGGUGAAAUGCGUAGAGAUCUGGAGGAAUACCG